rnacentral:lncRNA from 1 species
AUGGAAAAAACUACCUCGUGGAGAAGAGUGAAUUACAAAUCCUCCGCGACCGAGGCCGCGCCGGGCUGUAAUUUCGGUUUGGCGCUGAUCCGCGCCGCUGCGGCUUGUCGAUGGCCUGAUUUAAGUUGUUGGGGCCCUGGGGAUGAAACCGGCCGCCCUCCUCGGUGCCUCUGCUGGGGUUUUGCGCUCUCUCCUAGCCCGGGCCUGAGGCGGCUUUUAAAGGAUUUUCCCCCAGGGUGGAGCUGUGUUAUCAGCGCUGCGCCAGAGCCUUGUCCCCCUCCAGCAAGCUGCGCGGGAUUACCAGGUCUUCCUCCAGGGAGCAAGCCAGGACAUCUGGAAGCAGAGAAGACCCCGGAGAUUUACACCCCUGCAUCCGGCCGCUCCUUCCCCACCUCUUCUGGACAUAAAGAGGGUUGGAGAACAACCCCGUGGUACAGCUGGGGCACCCAGCUCCCUCCGCACCUCAUUAAUACCCUGAUUUAAUUGCUAAUUAAUAGUCUGCACCUCCCACCCGCAGCUCUCCAUCCCUUAAGGGUGCUGUAAUGGGUCUCUAGGGUGAAAAUUGAUUAUUUUUUUUUUCAAUUAACGGGUGUUUGGUGCAUUCGGACUUUCCAACCAAAUUUUGCAAGCUCUUGGGAUGCCUGCCCCCCGGCCCAGGCUUCGUUUGCCGCUCAUUAAAUCACCGCUUUUCCCCCCAUUUUCCCCUCCAGACACCUUUGAGCCGCUCCACCGCCGCGCGCCAGGGCGUUGUUCUUCUGGGAGAAGUCCUCGAGCUCCGCUUCGAGCUCCAGCGGCCGCAGCCUCCGCUCCGUGCUCCUCGUUGGGGGGAAAAAAUCAGAAUUUAACGCCGCGGCUCCUGGCCAGGAAAUCCCAAAUCCCCCACCCCCAGUGUGCUGCAAAUCCAGGGGGAAAGCGAAAUAUAGCGGAGUUUUGUGCCCCAAAAAUAGAGGAUUUUAUGGCCCAAAAAUAGAGGAUUUUGUGCCCCAAAAUAGAGGGUUUUAUAGCCCCAGAAUAGAGGGUUUUAUGGCCCCAAAGUAGAGUUGUUGUGUUUUUCUUUUUUUUUUUUUUUGUGCCCCAAAAUAGAGGGGUUUGGGGCCCAAAAAUAGGGGAGGUUGUGCCCCAAAAAUAGAGGAGCUUCAUGCCCCCAAAAUAGAGUUCUGUGCCCCAAAAAUAGAGAUUUUUUUAAGCCCCCAAAAUAGAGGGUUUUUUGUGCCCCUAAAAUAGAGGGUUUUUUGUGCCCCAAAAAUAGAGGGCUUUUUGUGCCCCCAAAGUAGAGGAUUUUUUUGCCUCAAAGUAGAGGUUUUGUGUGCCCCCAGAAAUAGAGGAGUUUUGUGCCCCAAAGUAGAGGAGCUUUGUGCCCCUAAAAUAGUUUUUUUUUUUGCCCCAAAAUAGAAGGGUUUUUGGGCACACCCCAAAGUAGAGGAGCUUUGUGCCCCCAAAACAGAGGAUUUUAUGCCCCAAAUUAGAGGGAUUUUUGCCCCAA